CCCGCCCACCCGCCCACCUGCCUGGCGCGACGGGGCCCACCUGCGCGUCCGCCCGGGCCCCGGACGAAGACACCCGCGGGAAGGGGGAGCCGGCGACCGGCCAGAGCAAUGAGGCAAGCGGAGACCUGUUACGAGCUUUAUUUUAGAAGGAAGCUCACAGAAGAUUCAUCCGGACGGAGGCUUGCUGGCCUUCAGCCCUCGCACUGCUUGCCCUGGUGGAGCUCCUGGGUUUUCAGUCCCCUCUCCUUUCACACGUGUGGUUGUGCCGAGACAAGGCAGUCCACGGGUGAACUCCACCAUCUCUCCUGGCGACACAGAAGUGUUUAAUUGGUGGGGACCUGGGUUUUCAAACCUGGGUCCCAGGUGUGCCACCACCCGGUCCCUCCCCUCUCUCUUUCUCCAAAAAAAAAAAAAAAAAAAAAAAAAGGCCUGGAACUGUGAAGCCCUUGAACAACAAAAGAAAGAAAGUGAUUUCAUGACAAAGAGGACCGCCCUGAGGAAGUCAGGGAGUUAGUGGGCAGCACUGGUCAAAGGGUGGCCUGUUCACUGAGUCUGAAAACGGGACCAGCAGCUGACAAGCUCAUCUUUCAGAGUCAAGCCUGACAAGCCUGAGGAAGGCGGGGAAAUGGCGCCAACGUGCUCCCCCUUAUCUGUGACUUGUUCGCCUCCUCCUAGACUAAGGACCCACAAAGAGACAUUCACCUAAACGAAACUGUGAACUUUGGGUGUGGAAGCAAGAGAGCUGUUUUCAGAAAAGACCUCCCCCGGUCAGUAGUGCGUGAGGAGGAGUCGUGAGAAGCUGGCUGCCUUGGGGCUGGGGAGACAACUGCUGCAGGACCAGCUUGCCCGCAGGACGCCUCGCAGGAGCAUCACCUGUGCUGGCACCGAGCCGUCCUCUGGCCCUUCCUCUCUCUUCUCUCUCCUCUUCAUUCUUCCUCUCAUAAUAAUGAAAGAUAUCUCCCCCCACACACACAUUUUUCUACCUUUCUGCUUUCCAGUUAUAAAUCUAAAUCACCUUCAUCGCCUCUUGGAUGGAGCUUGAAGGAAUCCUGUGAAGUGAGAUCAGCCAGAAAGAGAAGGAUUUGAAGAUGAAGGAUGGAAGUGGAGAAAUCAGGACAGAAGGGGAAACACAGAGCAGAACUUGGACUGGAGUUGGUGUGUGGCACCAAAGUCAAGGACUCUGGGGUGGGGGGAGGUCAGGUCCUGGAGCAUGAUGGCAGAGGAGGACCUAGAGGGGGUGAGAGUGUGACGUGGGAAACUGGGACAUGUGACACAUGGACCAGCUACUGUGUUUUACUGUCGACUGUAAACCAUUAAUCCCCCAAUAAAGGAAAAUUAUACACACACACA